UACGUAGGGGGCAAGCGUUAUCCGGAUUUACUGGGUGUAAAGGGAGCGUAGACGGCAUUGCAAGUCCGGAGUGAAAGCCCACGGCCCAACCGUGGGACUGCUCUGGAAACUGUAGAGCUGGAGUGCGGGAGGGGCAGGCGGAAUUCCUAGUGUAGCGGUGAAAUGCGUAGAUAUUAGGAGGAACACCGGCGGCGAAGGCGGCCUGCUGGACCGUAACUGACGUUGAGGCUCGAAAGCGUGGGGAGCAAACAGG
rnacentral:rRNA from 1 species